rnacentral:rRNA from 1 species
GCCCGAGCAGGGGUACGCCGGCCGGUGGAUGCCUCGGCUUGGGCGCCGAAGAAGGACGUGGCAAGCUGCGAUAAGCUCCGGGUACCCGCAGGCAGGGGUGGAUCCGGAGAUCUCCUAAUGGGACAUCCCGCGGUGGGCUUAGGCCUGCCGCGUUCCCGGGCGCAAGCCUGGGAUCGGUAACCCCCCGAACGGAAGCAUCCAAGUAGGGGGAGGAGAAGAAGUCAAACGAGAUUCCCUCAGUAGGGGCGACCGAAAGGGGAGGAGCCCAAACCGAACCCCCUGGGGAAACUCAGGGGGAAUGUGGGGUUAAGGGCCGGAGGCCCGCCCUGAAGGCCGAGCCGAACUCCCCUGGAACGGGGGGCCAGAGAGGGUGAUAGCCCCGUAGGCGAAGGUCGGAUGGGCGAUGCUCCGGACCCAGAGUACCGCACCUCGGAUAUGGUGUGGGAAGUUGGGGGCCACUGGCCUCCAAGGCUAAAUACGUCCCAAGACCGAUAGCGGACCAGUAGCGUGAGCGAACGGUGAAAAGUACCCCGGGAGGGGGGUGAAAAGCGCCUGAAACCGGCCGGUAACAGACGUGGGCGGCCCGAAAGG